rnacentral:ncRNA from 2 species
UAGGAAGCGUGUCGUCAUGGUUCCGCGCGCCGUUCCGGCGUGAGGCCAAGAGGGAAGCCGGUGGAAAUCCGGCGCUGCCCCCGCAACUGUCAGCGGCGAAUCGCGCGCCAUGAUGUCACUGGGUCCGCGAGGGCCCGGGAAGACGGCGCGAGGAUGACGACCCGCGAGCCAGGAGACCUGCCAUGACGACAGACAUGCC